GAUGAACGCUAGCGGCAGGCUUAAUACAUGCAAGUCGUGGGGCAGCAUGAGUAGCAAUACUUGAUGGCGACCGGCAAACGGGUGAGGAACACGUACACAACCUUCCUUCAAGCGGGGAAUAGCCCAGAGAAAUUUGGAUUAAUACCCCAUAAUAUAUUUGAUAAGGCAUCUUAUUAAUAUUAAAGCUUCGGCACUUGAUGAUGGGUGUGCGGCUGAUUAGAUAGUUGGCGGGGUAACGGCCCACCAAGUCUACGAUCAGUAGCUGAUGUGAGAGCAUGAUCAGCCACACGGGCACUGAGACACGGGGCCCGACUCCUACGGGAGGCAGCAGUAAGGAAUAUUGGACAAUGG
rnacentral:rRNA from 1 species